GGACUACUGGGGUUUCUAAUCCUGUUUGCUACCUUGGCUUUCGUAUCUCAGCGUCAGUAUCCGUCCAGAAGAUUGCUUUCGCCAUUGGUGUUCCUACACAUCUCAACGCAUUUCACCGCUACACGUGUAGUUCCAUCUUCCUCUCCGGCACUCAAGACCUCCAGUAUAGGGAGCAGUGUUAGGGUUGAGCCCCAACCUUUCACUUCCUACUUAAAGGUCCGCCUGCAUACGCUUUACGCCCAGUAAAUCCGGACAACGCUUGCCACCUACGUAUUACCGCGGCUGCUGGCAC
rnacentral:rRNA from 1 species